rnacentral:rRNA from 1 species
AGCGAACGCUGGCGGCAGGCUUAACACAUGCAAGUCGAACGGGCACUUCGGAAGAGAGCGGCGGACGGGUGAGUAACGCGUGGGUAACCUGCCCUGUACACACGGAUAACAUACCGAAAGGUAUGCUAAUACGAGAUAAUAUGCUUUUAUCGCAUGGUAGAAGUAUCAAAGCUUUUGCGGUACAGGAUGGACCCGCGUCUGAUUAGCUAGUUGGUAAGGUAACGGCUUACCAAGGCGACGAUCAGUAGCCGACCUGAGAGGGUGAUCGGCCACGUUGGAACUGAGACACGGUCCAAACUCCUACGGGAGGCAGCAGUGGGGAAUGUUGCACAAUGGGCGAAAGCCUGAUGCAGCAACGCCGCGUGAGCGAUGAAGGCCUUCGGGUCGUAAAGCUCUGUCCUCAAGGAAGAUAAUGACGGUACUUGAGGAGGAAGCCCCGGCUAACUACGUGCCAGCCGCCGCCGUAACAC